rnacentral:tRNA from 1 species
GGGCAAGUAGCUCAGCUGGUUAGAGCGCCACGUUGACAUCGUGGAGGUCAGGGGUUCGAGCCCCUUCUUGCCCACCA